UCGGGUACAAUUCGAUUUAUAUUGGAUCGGGUCUAUUCGGGUUGAUUAUUUUCGGGUUCGGGUUUAUUCAGGUCGGUUCUUUUUAGUUUCAGUUCUUUUGGGUAAAAGAAAUUUGGACCCAAAAGGUACUUGUAAAUUUCCUGUUCGGUUUCGGAUCGAGUAAUUUUAGAUAGAUUUCAGUUCAGAUUUUUGGGGGAAAAACGGCUUAUUCAUGCCC
rnacentral:lncRNA from 1 species